rnacentral:rRNA from 1 species
GACGAACGCUGGCGGCGUGCUUAACACAUGCAAGUCGAACGGAAAGGCCCUGCUUUUGUGGGGUGCUCGAGUGGCGAACGGGUGAGUAACACGUGAGUAACCUGCCCUUGACUUUGGGAUAACUUCAGGAAACUGGGGCUAAAACCGGAUAGGAGCUCCGGCGGCAUGGUGGGGGUUGGAAAGUUUCGGCGGUUGGGGAUGGACUCGCGGCUUAUCAGCUUGUUGGUGGGGUAGUGGCUUACCAAGGCUUUGACGGGUAGCCGGCCUGAGAGGGUGACCGGCCACAUUGGGACUGAGAUACGGCCCAGACUCCUACGGGAGGCAGCAGUGGGGAAUAUUGCACAAUGGGCGGAAGCCUGAUGCAGCAACGCCGCGUGCGGGAUGACGGCCUUCGGGUUGUAAACCGCUUUCGCCUGUGACGAAGCGUGAGUGACGGUAAUGGGUAAAGAAGCACCGGCUAACUACGUG